rnacentral:rRNA from 1 species
GAUGAACGCUGGCGGCGUGCUUAACACAUGCAAGUCGAACGAAGAAACCUUGAAUGAGAGCUUCGGCAGGAUUUCUUGGUAUCUUAGUGGCGGACGGGUGAGUAACGUGUGGGCAACCUGCCCUAUACGUGGGGAAUAAUCACUAGGAAACGGUGACUAAUACCGCAUGUCAUUGCGAGAGGGCAUCCUCUUGCAAAGAAAGGAGUAAUUCGGUAUAGGAUGGGCCCCGCAUCUGAUUAGCUAGUUGGUGAGAUAACAGCCCACCAAGGCGACGAUCAGUAGCCGACCUGAGAGGGUGAUCGGCCACAUUGGGACUGAGACACGGACCCAAACUCCUACGGGAGCAGCAGGUGGGGAAUAUUGCACAAGU